rnacentral:lncRNA from 1 species
UAUGUUUUUAGACUGAUAGCAAAUGAUUACUUGAUACAUGUAAGUUCAGCGUUAUAUGUUGAGGCAGUUAUAUAAUUAAAUAAGGAACACUUAGGGCAUUGAUCUUGUACACUUAAAAUCUGACAAAUGACAAAAUGUGAAUUAAGCAUAAAUAGUCAUGGCAGGAGGGCUUUUGUUUAUUUCUCUUGUUUUUGUUUAACUGUAUUUUUAAUUUUGUCUGGUGGUAAGAGGGAGGUAAUUAUUGUAUGGAAAGAAGUUAGAUCUUUCAGAUAGAUAAAUAGGCUUCAGGUUUUGAAGUCUGCUCUGUGUAGUUGAGCAGUCAUGGUUAACUUUACUUAGAAAAUUAGUCUGACAAGCUUUGCACUUCGGUCACAUAAGUGCCCAUGUACAAAGUUGGCUUACUGGAUCUGCAUAUUCAAAAUAUGCAACUACAAAUUUAUCCUCUGAGAAAUCUUCUGAGGAGUCUAAUGUAUUCCAAAUGACUUAAUAUUCUCAGACAAAUGCUUUAAAAUACUUGGAUUAUCUCAAGAUUUUUGAAGCUAAUAAAGUAAAUAGAAACACAGGCCAUUUUAAAUGGUAAAUUCUAGUUACAUAAAUAUAAUCUUAAAGUAUGUUUGUAUCUGUAACAGUGUUAGACCAGAUUUGGUUUCUACCUCCCCAAUGUUAUAAAUGUUCACUUUUGUUUUUAUAAACCAUAUUACUGUAAGAUCAAUAGAACUUUGCCUAGUUAAGUGAAUGGAACCAAUUAAACAACUAGUAGCUUUUUAUAAUGUUAGUGUGAACUUGAAAAAUUGUUUUUGGUGGAAUUUUUGUCUGUGGUUAGAACAUUUUCAUAAAACAGAUAAAGAAUGUGUAAUACUCUUAAUUUUUUUUUUUUUUUUUUUUUUUUUUUUGCUUUCUGCCUUCUAAAGUGCAACAGUAUAUAUCUUGUAGAACUGUGGGAGGAGAGAAGAUAAUUUUUCUACCUUACUCCAUAUUCUUACUUCAAACUAUUUUGAAUAGAGGUUCACUGAGCCAUUGCUGAUAGACUGUGCAUAGCUACUAGCUGUCACACUAUUGUAGGUUUUUUGGAGAGAUUCAUAGGGAAGUGAAUGUAACCAGGAAUAAAGGCUCUCACUUUAGCUCUGGGACUAUGCAGUGGAUCUUGGGAACAAAAUAAGAUAUCUAAUCUAUUUUCCCCAUUCUGGCUAGAUUUUGGUUGUUGUGAUGCUCCUACUUCCUGUAUAGGUUUUUGGGAUCAUGGUGCAGGCUAGUAAUAGGAUUCAGAAUUGCUUCCCUUUUAUAUCGACCAUGUAAGGGAUUCUAAAGGAGGGUAAAUCUCAAAGUGCUCUGAAAUCAUCCCUCUAAAAUCUGUCCUGUGGUGUGCUAAGAUGUCUGUUGCCUUUUUAUGUUAAGCUAAGGAACUUGAAUGCCUUACCUAAUAACUCAACUAGUAGUAAGCUCAUUUUGUAAAUAUGAAAAUGGCUGUAAGAAGUGGCAUUCAUGUAUAUUCAAUGUUAGUCAAUAGACCAUAGUGGCCUGGAUGCUUUAACAAGCCAAAUUCCGCAAUUUUUUUUCCUUUUUUCCCCUUCAUACUUGUAUGAUCUCACCUGACCAGUGAUUUCUUUUCCUCCUAACCCCAUGCUACCACCAUUUUCUGGAAAUCAAAGAGAUGUGGUAGUAAAUCAUACAGUACACACGAUCAUCUGAGAUCAAUAUGAGCACAAAACUCAUCAAGUAGGUCUGCCUGGAAUGUAUAUAAAAAAUGUAAAUAAAAAUUUGUAAAUUAGUGUGAACUGUAUCUUGCAUAUGAGACUGUGUAUUGUUUUGCAUUCUCUUCCCUUUUGUAGAAAUUUUUCUGUAAGGAAAUGAUUCAGCUUGUUGGUUUUAGAGUAAAAAUAGCCAACAGUUGUGGCUACACAGUGAGAUCACAGGAACUGGAAAUAGGGUUUGUCGGCUUUGGUUAAUGUCAGUACUCAUUUAUUUAGCCUCUCAGUGCUUAAUAAGACUUUUCUUUAUUUUUUAGUUAGCCGUUAGGUUUUGUGAGGUUAGAUUCCUGGAAGCAGUGAAUUUAUACACUGUUAUAUUAAUAGAGCUCCGUUCUUUGAGUCAUGAUUCCAAGCUAAAGGAAAUUAAAAAUGUAAUUUAAUAAUUUCCUAUUUUUAGGGUUGUUAAUUUUUUUCUACAAAAAAACCUUGAAAUUUUAGAUAUCCCAAUGUGAAUCUAAUUUCCAUAUAUACAGAAAUUAGACAAAUAAUAAGUCUUUAGUUCAACUUAAGCAUAUCUCAAAUGACUUCUCUAAAUUUAAAGUUGAUCAUGAUAGGAUCAUAAAAGACAGAAAAGACUUAAGUAAUCUUGUAAUGACAAUUAUUUCCAUUUUUGCUGAACUAAAAAUAUUUAACUUCAUAAAUAUGUUACUACAGCUUCCAGAUUUAAAGAAAAAAAGUUUCCCCCACUCUCAAUUAAAAGUUAGAACCCUCCACUUUUAAAAUUAUACAAAUAUUUCUUUUUUACAUUACACAGAAGCCUUCUGUACCAUUUUACGAAUUUCUGUCUUCAUAAUAUAAGUGAAAAUACUGUCAUUUCAAUUUUCUGCUUUAAAUUGUUUUUAAUAAGCAUUCCAAAGUGAUACAGACUUAAGCUUUUAAUCAAUCAGUCAUUCAGUUGAUAGACAAAGUUAGCGAUGCUUUAUGCUAGGAAACUUGUUGACAGUAACCUGUGCGACUUUAUGCAGAAGACAAAUGCUAGUAAUUAUUAUGCACAGAGGAAAAAUCAUUUUAAGUAUGUGGUAAAGCAGCUUCAUCUUUCAAAAUUGAUUUGCUCUGGUUUUUCUUUAGUCCAUUAGAUUCCAGAAUGUCCUUUUACUGGGAAUUUAGUUAUGUAUUAAGAUAACCUGUUUUCAGUUCUUUUUGAAAAGAAGACAUUAUUUAUAUUGAACCACCUUAUUUUAAAAUUUUUAACUUUUAUAUACCACUUGUGUGAUUCCAGUGUCAUGUCUUGGGUUUGAUGUCGUUGGACAGAAAAGUGUAUCAAUUAUUUUAAAUGAAUUUUUCCCCAUGUUUGAGGCUUAGUCUGUAAAUGUGUUGCUGUAACAGAAAAUACUUGGGUAUGCAUUACUUGAAUACUUGAAAACUGAAAUUAAUAAGAUGUAUUACAUAAUGAAUUAGAUUUCUCUGAACAGUUUUUACACUGAAAAUCUUCAUUUCUGGAUUGCAGUUUGAAAUGGAAUGAAGACCUGAAUUAUUUGGGUAGAAAAAAUUAUGAUAGUGCUUAUAAGAACUGUAAACUGUUUUAAACUAUUUUGUGUUUGACGCAUCAAACUUCAAGUUUUUUGUAAGUUUCUCUCCUGAAAUUUUCUUUCUCUUCUAUACUUUAUGCACUUACUAUACUACUGAUGUAAUAAAAGAGCAGGGUUAAAAAUAUUGUAUCUGUAUUCAUUGUGAAUCCUGUAGCUUUUCUAGUUAACAAAAAAUCGCUUUCUAAAAUACUCUUAAUCCCAUUGUUUUGGUUAACAUCUUACCCAUUUGUUGUAUUUCAAAUGCCAUUAAUCAUUUUAGUACAACACCUAUGUUUAUAAAAAUUUGAAAACAUUACAUAUUGUAUUUAAAACUAAUUAGUGAAGAGUAAGAAAAAAACUAGCCAACAGAAUUGUAGGUGAUGCAUUAGUUAAAUUUCAAAACUCAUAAUAAAGGAACUUUCAGAGAUUGGUUGAAACCCAGUGGUAUCCCUGUAAAUUAGCUCCUGUGACUGGAAAAGACCCCAAAAAGGCAGUAGAGGAGAUUAGUGUUUACUUGCUGUGGUUGUGGUGUGCUGCUACUUAAUUAUAGGUAGUGACACACUGAAAUUCUUAUUUGUCCAAUAAUCUGAAGUAGUUUCCUAUAUUUAUCUGUACUAAAUUGACUAUAAAUUGAGUCUGCAAAGAGGAAACUUUUUGACUGUACUGUAUUUAGGAGCCUUUGUACAGCUUGGUCAAAUUUCCAUGAUAUGAAGUAUUUGAGUUUUAAAAUAUACUGUUAUUAAAAGGAAAAAGACAUGGCCAUUAUUCCAUGUGCUUAAAUGAUAAUUUCCUUAUUCAGUUUCAGAAGAAAAAGAAUGAAAUUGGGUAACUGUCAUUGCGUUAGCUUUAUGUUGAAUUGGGAAAUUGUGGCAUAAAGCUUAAAUUCGUGUUUAUCAAAUGUGAACCAUAGUAGUAUAAUGCUGCUUUGUAUAUAAUGUAAGUGCUACAAAUAGUCUCAGCACUGAAAAUGUAUUGAUACCUCUUAAAUGAAUGCAACUUUUGAUGUAGGUGUUUUGCUAUGCCUCAGAAAAUAUCUGUCUGAGAAUUUGUUAAUCUGUUUGAUAAUGAAGAUACUUCCUGUUUUCUUGUUUCAUAUUUUCAUGUUCAAAAUUUAAGUUUUACAUUUUUACUACUGUUAAUUUAAAUAAAAUUUGUUCUGUGGAUAAAAUGAGGUUGGCAGUGAAGAAAAUUAAAAACAGCCUCAUUCAUGUAACUGGUUAAGUAAAAAUACAUUUUCACUAUGUGUUCAUAAACUUUUAAUGAAGCUGUUUGUCUUUCAGUUCAAAUAUAAGUGAUGUUUAGGCUUUAUUUCUGUUAAUAAGGCUUUUUACCAUUGAUUAAAUGAAGGAAUGUAUCUUUUUGAAGAGAUUUAUAUUCUGUAAAUAAAAAUUCGUUGUAACAAUAAA